GACGAACGCUGGCGGCGUGCUUAACACAUGCAAGUCGAACGGAAAGGCCUCUUUCGGGGGGUACUCGAGUGGCGAACGGGUGAGUAACACGUGAGUAACCUGCCCUUGACUUUGGGAUAACUUCAGGAAACUGGGGCUAAUACCGGAUAGGAGCUCCUGCUGCAUGGUGGGGGUUGGAAAGUUUCGGCGGUUGGGGAUGGACUCGCGGCUUAUCAGCUUGUUGGUGGGGUAGUGGCUUACCAAGGCUUUGACGGGUAGCCGGCCUGAGAGGGUGACCGGCCACAUUGGGACUGAGAUACGGCCCAGACUCCUACGGGAGGCAGCAGUGGGGAAUAUUGCACAAUGGGUGGAAGCCUGAUGCAGCAACGCCGUGUGCGGGAUGACGGCCUUCGGGUUGUAAACCGCUUUCGCUCAUGACGAAGCUUUGUGUGACGGUAGUGGGUAGAGAAGCACCGGCUAACUACGUG
rnacentral:rRNA from 1 species